rnacentral:lncRNA from 1 species
GGAAUAUUUAUUUCAUCUUGUCUCCCCUUUUCUCGAUUGUUGCACAUUCCAUUAAUAUGUCAAGUAAAAUUUACAAAAUAAUUAUUUGAUAUAAGAACUGCCGCAAAUAUUCUUAACCAUUUAUAUUCAAGUUUCUGCUCUCUAAAUUGAAUUUAAAAAACAUUGUUAAAAAUUAAUUUUGCCGCCCAUGAAACUUUUAAUAACGCCGGAAAAGGAAACGUACACAAAUUCCGCAUCCAAGAUUCUUCUUUAUCAUCUGAAUGUUUUACUGGAAUUAUCUGAAAAGAUAAACAAAAUGAUUGUACAAAAAUUGAAAAGUGCAGGUGCUUAUCCUCAUAGGAGCUAAUAUUUCUAAAUAUAUACCGAUUCAAAAAAG